UCCUACGGGGGGCAGCAGUAGGGAAUUUUCGUCAAUGGGCGCAAGCCUGAACGAGCAAUGCCGCGUGAACGAGGAAGGUCUUCGGAUCGUAAAGUUCUGUUGAAGGGGAAAAAGAGCGGAGAGAGGAAAUGGUCUCCGAUUGAUAUUACCCUUCGAGGAAGUCACGGCUAACUACGUGCCAGCAGCCGCGGCAAUACGUAGGUGGCGAGCGUUAUCCGGAAUGAUUGGGCGUAAAGGGUGCGUAGGCGGCCUGCUAAGUCUGGAGUGAAAGGUACCGGCUCAACCGGUACAGGCUCUGGAAACUG
rnacentral:rRNA from 1 species